GACAGAGGUGCCGAGCGUUAGGCGGAAUCACUGGGCUUAAAGCGUGUGUAGGCGGAUGGGUAAGUACCUUGUGAAAUCCCACGGCUCAACCGUGGAACUGCUCGGUAUACUGCUCAUCUUGAGCCAACUAGGGGCGACCGGAACAAACGGUGGAGCGGUGAAAUGCGUAGAUAUCGUUUGGAACGCCGAUGGUGAAAACAGGUCGCUGGGGUUGUGCUGACGCUGAGACACGAAAGCCAGGGGAGCAAACGGG
rnacentral:rRNA from 1 species